UACGUAGGGUGCAAGCGUUAAUCGGAAUUACUGGGCGUAAAGCGUGCGCAGGCGGUGAUGUAAGACAGAUGUGAAAUCCCCGGGCUCAACCUAGGAACUGCAUUUGUGACUGCAUCGCUGGAGUACGGCAGAGGGGGAUGGAAUUCCGCGUGUAGCAGUGAAAUGCGUAGAUAUGCGGAGGAACACCGAUGGCGAAGGCAAUCCCUGGGCCUGUACUGACGCUCAUGCACGAAAGCGUGGGGAGCAAACAGG
rnacentral:rRNA from 1 species